rnacentral:lncRNA from 1 species
CUCUUCACUGUGACCCCCUUCUUACUCCAUCUGCCUGGGCUCCCUGGGUCCCCAUCAUCAUUUCCUCAGUUCGUGAGGCUGCCUCUGUCUUUCCUGUACCACAUUUUUGCAGUCUGCCAUAACUCAUGAAAUCAUCCAGGACAACCCUUCAGGGCUUCCUGCAUUUCUCAUCUUUCGAGAAUCACUCUAUUUCUUCAUGCCCAAUGUUCGACUGCCCUUUCUGAUUUAAGUUGUUGUUUUAAUUGUUUCAAGAAAGAAGGAUUUCAAGUUAAUGAGUUCAAGUAAUUCAGCUCUGCUUCAGGAAGGAGCUGGUGGGACAUGAAAACCAAGUGUGACACUGAAAUGGGAGAGCUAAGCAGGAAGUUCUACAGAAAGGAGAGGGACCAUCGAGGGAACGAUCACCACAUCCUGGAAUCACAUUCUUCCUAUGAAGGGGAUCGCCUUGCAUUUUUCUAAAUCUUCCUGAUAACAUCUCAAAGUGAUGGAGAAAGAACUAGUAUAAAAAUUAGAAGGACAAUUUUACUUCUGCUUUUUAAACCUUAAGCAACUAAUUGACUUUUUGGGCAAAUGGAUUUUCUUUUCUCUUAAACAGUAUCUCACAGCAACACAUUUUCAUCAUUACUCCUGAGAAGGAGACUUUUCAGACAUUUGUACAUUCUCCAUCUUGGACCAACUUAAUCAGAUUUUCAAAAAUUGUGCACUAGAGAGGCAGGCACAUUAAAAUUCCACAGGGGUUUCUGGCCUGCACCCCUGGUUCAGAAAACCAUAUUGUAAGACUGAUACACAAAGUUUCGUAUGUCUCAGAAUCAGCUAAAGAUACUGGAAGGUUGCAAAUCCCUUAAUAUCAGGCUCAGAGCUUCUGACUCAGUAGUUUAGAAGGAAGCCCAAGAAUGGUUGGGACAAUCUUAGGACAGCAUUAGUCUAAGAGCUUGUAACUCAAAGUGAGGUCAUGUUCAAUAUAAUAAUUCAAGAGAUUAUUAGGGUUGCAGAGUUACAGGCCCCACCCAGACCUAGUAAAUCAGAGUCCUCUUUUUAACAAGCUCUUGAAUUGAUUCAUAUACACACUAAAAUUAAAGAAAUAGACCAAGAUUUUAUGAAUUCCCAAUUAUAUAGAUUUUGAUAGUAAACCAUGCAGACUGUUCAAUAAUGUUAUAUAUUCUAAGAGUGUACAACAAAAGCAGUAAUUAACU